rnacentral:rRNA from 1 species
CUCAAAUGUAUGUUGACGUAUUCUGAAAGGGAUACUUCUUCGGACAAUAUACAAGGUGCUGCAUGGUUGUCGUCAGCUCGUGCCGUGAGGUGUCGGGUUAAGUCCCAUAACGAGCGCAACCCCUAUCAUUAGUUGCCAUCAGGUCAAGCUGGGGACUCUAAUGAAACUGCCUACGCAAGUAGUGAGGAAGUGGGGAUGACGUCAAAUCAGCACGGCCCUUACGUCCAGGGCUACACACGUGCUACAAUGGCCGAUACAGAGGGCAGCUACCUGGUGACAGGAUGCAAAUCUCCAAAGUCGGUCUCAGUUCGGAUCGGAGUCUGCAACCCGACUCCGUGAAGUUGGAUUCGCUAGUAAUCGCGCAUCAGCCAUGGCGCGGUGAAUACGUUCCCGGGCCUU